AACAGCUCAAAUUUGAAAUCUGGCCCCGGCGGGGUCCGAGUUGUAAUUUGCAGAGGGUGUUUCGGGCGCGAUGCCGGUCUAAGUUCCUUGGAACAGGACGUCGUAGAGGGUGAGAAUCCCGUAUGCGACCGGCGAUCAAGCCCGUGCGAAGCCCCUUCGACGAGUCGAGUUGUUUGGGAAUGCAGCUCAAAAUGGGUGGUAAAUUUCAUCUAAAGCUAAAUACCGGCCAGAGACCGAUAGCGGACAAGUAGAGUGAUCGAAAGAUGAAAAGCACUUUGGAAAGAGAGUCAAACAGUACGUGAAAUUGUUGAAAGGGAAGCGCUUGCGAUCAGACCGGUCCGCCGGCGAUCAGCCGCUGCUCGUCAGCGGUGCACUCGCCGGCGAUCCGGCCAGCAUCGGUUCAGGCGGCGGGACAAAAACCUCGGGAACGUAGCUUCUCUCGGGGAGUCUUAUAGCCCGGGGCAUCAUGCCGCCCGCCCGGACCGAGGACCGCGCUUCGGCUAGGAUGCUGGCGUAAUGGUCGCAAGCGACC
rnacentral:rRNA from 1 species